UCGAACUUUGGAGCCAACGACCUCAAGAUCUUUCCAACAACAGAUCUUGAUGUCAAUACUUCUCCACAUACCUUCAUUUGAUUCACUAUUUUCGUAAUCUUGGUGAAGAAAUCAGUUAUGCUUUCAUUGUCUUCCAUCUGAAGCAAUUCAUACGUUCUUUUGUGAGUUUGUAACCUUACCUCUUUCACCUUCUCCACGCCUCCAAAUGAUUUCUCU
rnacentral:lncRNA from 1 species